rnacentral:rRNA from 1 species
CAAUGCUCAGUGGCGGACGGGUGAGUAACGCGUGGGAACAUACCCUUUGGUUCGGAAUAGCCUCGGGAAACUGGGAGUAAUACCGGAUGUGCUCUUCGGAGGAAAGAUUUAUCGCCAAAGGAUUGGCCCGCGUUGGAUUAGGUAGUUGGUGGGGUAAUGGCCUACCAAGCCGACGAUCCAUAGCUGGUUUGAGAGGAUGAUCAGCCACACUGGGACUGAGACACGGCCCAG